GGAGAGAUGGCAGAGUGGUUUAUUGCGUCGGUCUUGAAAACCGAAGUGUCGCUAACGGCACCGUGGGUUCGAAUCCCUCUCUCUCCGCCA
rnacentral:tRNA from 1 species